GCCUGUGGGAUAUUCUCAGUCAGUAGAGCAUGAGACUCUUAAUCUCAAGGCUGUGUGUUCAAGCCCCAUGUUGGGCA